rnacentral:rRNA from 1 species
UACAGAGGUGUCAAACGUUGUCCGGAAUUACUGGGCGUAAAGCGUGCGCAGGCGGUUUCGUAAGUCUGUCGUGAAAGCCCCGGGCUCAACCUGGGAAUUGCGAUGGAGACUGCGAGGCUAGAGUGUGUCAGAGGGGGGUAGAAUUCCACGUGUAGCAGUGAAAUGCGUAGAUAUGUGGAGGAACACCGAUGGCGAAGGCAGCCCCCUGGGAUAACACUGACGCUCAUGCACGAAAGCGUGGGGAGCAAACAGG